AGCCUGGUCUAGUAUUAGAUAUGGAGGUUGGCAGCCCUGCAUGCAGCAGGGGGUUGGAGGUUUGUGAUCGAUGAGUCCCCUUCCAACCCAAGCCAUUCUUUGAAUUACAAGGGAGCAGAACUAUGUUAACAGCCAGAGCUUGGAAGAACUCUGUCCUCUGUGCCCAACGUUUAUUGCUGAUUUGCCUUCUAAGUAUGUAACAGACUUUUUUUCCCUGAUCCUCUUUUCUCACUGGGAGCUUUUAAGGGCUGCAGUCAAAGAAAAGUGAGGUAUGUAUAAAAAUAAGUACAACAGAGUACAACUUGAACUUGUCAUUGGUGUGACAACAAAACAUAAAUGACCAUUUCCUGUGAGUUCCAAAAUGGUGCUUUUUCAUUUUCUGACCUUCACUGAAACUGCAGCAGGGCGGGCUUUCGGUUCUUAAUGAGAUAAUAUUAAAAAAGAGUCAAAAUUGAGAUGAAUUCAGGACUUGAGCUCAUCAGAUCCAUCACGCUUCUAUCUGAUGUGCUUUGUUGGUGCUGCUUUAGCAGGACGUUAGCACAGUAUUUUCCAGUGCUGUUUCAGAAGCUGAACAGUCCUGAAGACAAAACUCUCAAAGCACUGGCAUUGAUUUCAGUGGAGCUGAAAAUUCACUGCUACUUUAAUUUUAUUUAAUGAGAUUUCACUGAGAAUCGCUGAAGAUAUUUAAUUUAGCAUAUAAUACUUCAUAAGGACUUUUUUUUUAGUGUAAUUAGUUCGUGAAAGUUAAUCCCUAAAGUCAGGUUGCCUUGUUAUCUAUUGCUAAAUGAGCAUAAAAUGGUGGUAUGAAAAUGCAGAGCUGUGACCCAUGCCUAAAAAACCCAUCAUGCUUGGUUUUAAUUGGAAGUAAGUGGGGAGCUCAUGCAUUUCCAGCAUCAACACAUUGCAGUGGAUGCAAAAGAACUCGCAUGUUGAGUUUGUAAUUGCUUUUCAGCAGACCUGUUUGACUUGUAAGUAUAGCAAAUAAAGCUGUUUCUAGUCUCUGUGAGUUAUUAUAAAUAAUACACAGCUUUGAGUGUGACUUCUGUCUUACUUUGUAGGAAUGAAUUACCCUGAGUGUUGAGAAGUGUCCAGUGAGCAGCAAAACUGGAGAAGUCAAAGAGCAGCAGGGAUUAGAAGUGAGCUGAAGCAGUGGAGGCUUUCCAAGCCCAGACUAUGGCUGCCCUCUGGAAGCACAGCAAGGAGCUGAGCUGGCUGCUGGUGGUCCUGAGUGGCAAAAAGGAGCAAAAGGUGGCUGCUGUUCAGAGAAGAACUAGCAGGUAAGCAGCAAAAAUCUCUAAAUUUAAGGGUGAAUUAGGUUGAAAUGCACCGUCCGUGCUUGCAUAGGAGCAAACAAGUGCAGCUGGAUGGGACUUGAGCACGGUGCUGCUCCUCUCUUUGUUCCCCUCCGGUCUGGGGCAUCCUGCCUUCCUGACUGAAGAACCAUGUUUUACUAAAGCACGUUAAAAUUAAAUAACACUGAAACCACAGUUUUUUUGUCUCAAGGUUCUGAGCUGCAGCCACCAGGGGGCACAUUCCAGCUUGCAAAGCACUGAUGUUAUGCCUUGCCUGAGACUUUUACAUCUCCUAUUAACUCAUACGGAGCUUUGUUUUUUGCCCUGUGCUAACUGUGGCAUAUCAGGGGAAAAAGAACAUUCAGGUGAGGCUGACAAAGGUGAAUGAAGCAAUUUUUUAUAACAGCUUUUAGUUGUUAUUUUCCAGACAAGUAUUUGAAUAUUAGAUUUCUUAGGUAAAUUAUACUGGAACAAAGAUCUGUGAAAUGCAUAAGGAGGGCCCAGGUGGCAGAGCUGCAUCCCUCAGAGUGCUUUGGAUGUUGUUGUAGUGAUGCACUGGAACAGGUUGCACAAGGAGGGUGUGGAUGCCCUCUCUUUUCAGAAGCUGACUUGUACUAUUACACACAUAUAUAUUAAUGUAUAUAUAUAUAUAUAUAUAUUAAAAAGGGAUUACUGCUCAGUUCACGCCUGCCCCCAAAUCCACACAAAUUAAUCUCUUUGUCAGCAAGGUUUCUUGGCAAGGUUUCCAGUGUGUUGAUUGUGAAAGCUAGAACAAAUUGUCAUUAUUUUUCUUUUUCCUCCUUAUGCCUCUUCUUUUUAACCUAAGUUGUUUUCAUGUCAGAAUUCCUUUCUCACCUAUGCAGGGAAUGAAAUGUUGCCAAAAUAAGGUUUCUAUUAACACAGUGAACUUAGAGGUCAGGAGACUGCAAUGCUUCUCUUCACUGCCAAGGGCACUGCAACCCAUUUGUUUUGUGAAUAUGAUACUCGUCUCUGUUGCUCAAGAUUAAAGCAAAGACAGAGCACUUGGGGGAAAAAAAUGAGUUCCAAAUUGUAUUUAUUAUUCCUCAUACAUAUAAAUUAUUCUGGUGCCCAGAAACUUGGAAGACGAAGCAGUGACAGCUGCUUGCAUGUGUCCUCCGACUGAGAGUGUCCUCAUCCCUGACAUUUUUUGCAGCCCAUAAAAACCCAGAUAAAACGCUCCUUUCUGAGCUGCCUUGGGUGCAGUCACGGGGACAAGAGUUAGAAUGUUGUAAGGUCUGGAAAUCAGGCCUGGUUAUUUAUUUUCUCUCAAGAGUUGGAGGCCUAUGUGAAAUUGAGUACAUUUCUGACCCUUAGACCUAUCAGCAUCAGCAGUGCCACCAUUGGAAACCCCACCAGGGACUUCAGUAGGACCAAAGUCUAAGCAGAAUUCUGCAAAUUUAAGAGUCAGCUGUUGAUGCUAGGACUGAAUGAUGCUUUACUUUCACUAUAGUGGCAUUAUAGCCUUCAGUGGCUUCAGUCUGCUACUGACCCAACUCCAGCUUUGGAUGUUGUAAACUCCUGCUGGUCUCAUUACUAACACUUCUCCUUUCAAAUCAAUACCUUCUUCAGUUGGCAACUCUUUAAAUCCUUCAGUGUUCAUGGACAAGUGUGGGUGAUUCUGACAUGGCUGAACUCUUAUAACAGAAACUCACUCUACCAAGAGGAGCGAAGCUGUCGAAAUAUACUUCCCAUCUACAACCAGGAAUGCAGUUUCUUUGCACACUGAUUUUAGUUUGUAGUUUUAAGAGGUGGUUUUUCCAUUCAUAACUCUUGGGUUGGUUUGAGCUUUUUGCUCUUUUUACCAGUGUUUUCAGUUUUUCCUCUGCACGAAGAAGCUGCUUUUAUUUCUAUAGGCUCUUUAGAAACUGCUACAUUCAUCUGUAGCUGGCAAUUCAAGAGCAUAUUCAGUCAAGCGGUGUGUUCUUCAUUAUUACCUCGCAGAGUGACCUCUUAGGAAGCAAAGAACGCAUUGACAUUUACAGUUAAUAAUCUAUUGAUUUAUGGUACAAAACAAAGGCAAUCAACGGGAGAGCUGUAAUUGUUUCAUUAAGUCUUAUGAACAGCACAAUGUACAUUGAUCCAGCUUUACAAUGUCACGACUCUCCUCGUGGUGGGCACCUUAUUUUUCUAUUUGCUGGCACUUCCAAGUGCUUUUGGUAUCACAGUAUCCCAUAGUUUUGAGUCGCGCUGUGACUGCAUGGCAGGUAAGCAGCUGUCAAAUCUGGUCCACUGAGUGCAGAAGGGCUUUAUGCCCUUAUAGAGGCUCUGAGAACUAUAGAGGGCAGUUUUAAAGAAAAGUAAUAUCAUGAAAAUCAAAGGUGUAAAAUAUGCUUUACAGUCGUAUGCUGUGCCCAUGCUCCAGACACGUUAUAUCCCUAAGGUUACGCAUCAGAAAUAGGGAUAAAAGCAUUGCUGCCCGUUUUGCUGGAUGUAAGGAGUGCUCUCCUUUCUUGCUAAUGAGAGUGGACUGUUCUGUUUUCUCACACCUCAACGCGUGAAAAACCCAAGCUGCUUUGCUUUAGAGGAUGCCCCAACCUUUAUGUGUUGACACAAGAAUGUGUCUACUGAGGAUUUAGGUCUCCUUUAGCUCCAUUAUUUUUCUCCCUGGAGCUGACACUGCAGAAGGAGCUGGGUAUCUGUUGCUGAUGCUCUGGCCUUCGGCCAGCCUGAGGUCUCAUCUGAACAGGUUCCACAGAGAGCAAUCCUUCCUUCGUACUCUGCAUUGAGCAGAAAUGAUGUAGUGGUUUGGGAAGCCAGCAGUCUGUCCUCAGCAGAGGUCCUGCAUUCACUCCUGCUAGGCUCUCAUGGUUGGAUACUUCAUAAAAAGUUUCAUUCUGAUAUAACAAAGAGGUUUUCCUGCUCCUGUUCUGGCCAGCAUCUGGAAUCACUUUCAAACCUCUCUGUACCAUUGUUUAUUAGCGUAUUUCAUUGUACAAUGAGGCUUCCAGCCUCCCGACCCAUACAGCGAUGCUACAGAUGCAACACCUACCUGUCUUUGCAUCUUUUUUUCUGAAUAGGAAACUUUUGUAGGUCAAGGAAUCACCACGUACUGCAGCGCAAGUGUGGGAAGGUAAUGUCUGGAUACUGUUUUCUUGCUGAGUUAAUCCUUGUAUUUGUGAAGGAGUGUAAUAACAGGAGAAGCCGUGAACUACCUGUAGUAUUUAUUUUGCUGUCAAUGUGAACAAAGGAAAGUGGAAAGCUUUGCACUCCGACCAGUUUUGUAACCUGCCCGCCAUUUUAAGUGAGGGUUUCGUGCUUUGGGUAAUGAGGCUUUUCGCAAUAGAUGUGGUCAGGUCAGCUUGAAUCCCUUCAGCGAAAUGGCCAGAGCAGACACAGCUCUUCUCAUAACAUUGGUACAGACCUUCAAGAAGCUUCUAAUGAUUCUGAUGUUUAUAGCUUGGAAUAUUUUGCGCACAUGUUCCAACUUUGCAUUCUCAACAUUUGCUAAACCAACAGUCUGCAGCAGACAUGAUAGCUACCAUCAGGAAACUUGUUUGACAGUUUAAACAGACAGCAUCUGUGUUUCCUACAUUUCAUAGUACACAAAGAGAAUGAGAAUUGCCUGUAGCUCAAUUAAUUCAAGAUGUUGUCAUAGGAUGGGACUGUGUUUUGGAGAUGUUAAAAACAUCUAAUUGGAAAAAGGAAUUUUGCUCUUGUAGUUGGCUGAGUUUCAUCAAUAUCACCUCCUCAGUGGAAUGUUACUGAGAGCAGUUGGCUUGAGUUUGGGGAGUUAAGAUAAAUUGGUGCACAUCAGGGCUGUCCUCAUGCGCUUCCAGCUACCUCUUUGUGGAGAGCAAAGGUGGCAUUUUCACAUUUCAAAGCAAAGAGGGGACUUGAAUUGGGUGCUACUUGAGCAUCUUUUGAAGCAAAAACAAAAUAAUCACCGUGAUUGGCAGAAGGGAAAACAGAACCAGAAUUGCAUCACACAUCAAAGUGUGACCCAGCAAGAACAGCUGAGGGCAGCACAACCUGUUGGCAAUGGGCACCUCUUGUGGCACCGUGUUUGGGCUCAUAGAGCACAUGAGCAGCACUGGGAGAAAUGUGUGGAUGGGGUGGAUGACGUGAGAGCCAGGAUACCGUGCUGUGGUCUAGCAUUGCAAUUUGCUGUUGGGGGCUUAGAAAUGUACAACGUUUUGGCUGUAAUCAAUAGGACCACAUUUUUGGCACCUGCUUCAGGAGUUUCCAGGUUUUCGUUGCUAUAAAGAGCACCGAUAAAAGGAAAGUUCACACUUCAAUGACAAAAUUUCUUAGCUUGUCUGAGGACUGGAUGGGGAGAAGAACUGGGAAUGAGAACUCUGACAAGCAGGAAUUGUGGACCAAAUUGUGAUAGCUGUGUUCAGUAGCACCUAAGUCCAUGAUUUCAUCUGUUGGCUGCAGGGACACUCCUUGCAGAGUAAGCUGUUACUCAGUGUGUUGUGUCUGAGCCUCCACCUCUUGCAAUGUGAGCUCCUUCUGUCUCCUAAAGCGGGUUUAUGCAAGAUUGUGCAUGUGGAUGUGCUGGUACAGUGGCUGCCCUCUGCUGAAGGAGUCCACAACUGUGUCAGUUUGGGGCUUUUCCUGGGUGUCUGCUGAGAAAUAUUUAGCCACAGAACUUUCUGUUCUUCUAGUAGAGGAUGUACAGAUUAAAUAAUGCAUAUUUAUUUGAAAAUGUAUGGGCUGACCUGCCUGUCAUCUCUAGGGAGUGCUCCGUGGGUCAGUCAAAGUGAAUGAAAACCAAAUGUGUCUGUUUUUCAUGUUUACUCUUUCCGUAAACAUAGCACAUAUGCAGCGUGCAGCUGCUAUUCUGAAAGGGCUUUUUUUACCCCCAGUAUUUGGGAGAUCUGCGUUUUAGGAGUGUUUUCUGUUGAUAGCUCCAUAGGAAGAAAAAGUGAUGCUGGACCACUUAGCAGAUCCAUCUAUCAAAGUGUCUGGAAGAAUUUCAAGUAAGGUAAGACAGUAAUGAAGCAGCAGCUAAGACAGCAUUGACUAGGUUUGAGUAAAUAAGAGGUUGAAAACUCUUUUCAAGUCCAGUGCCUUUUCCCUCAGCUCCUAUCAACUCCCAAAGAAA